rnacentral:rRNA from 1 species
UUUUCUAGUGUUUAAAGAUAGUUGGCAAAACCUUCACCCAUCUCGAAUUGAAGUGUUAAACAAUUAUCCCAUAAAGAUACUCUGAGAGCAGUCUUUGGGGACAAUAGUGGAAUGCUAGAAAC